GGAGGUGGAGCAGUACGCUCGAGGAUUUAUCAUGUUCUUGCUGGGCACCACCUAAUUUGCCGAUCGGGCGAACAUAGUUGCCCUAUAUCUGUUGAGUGCAUUGGUGGACGUGACCAGGAUCCGUCGCUAUGAUUGGGGUGGCGCAGGCUUGGCCAGACUUUAUGGAUACAUGAGCUCCUCAUCCCGCCACAGCGGACAUCUGCUCGAAGGCUACUGGCGAGCCUGGGAGUUGUGGGUGUAUGCUUACUUUCCUAGGCUUGCAUUGGAGCCGGAGGUAGAGAUGCCCCUUGCUGUCCCAUAUUCUCAACGAUUCGAUGUGAGCUGCAAUCGGAGGCCGCGGGAGUCUUUCCUGUUCUUCCGCAGAUACUUCGACACCAUUACCGCCGCAGAGAUCACUUGGCAGCCCUGGGCCGCGUUGCCGGAGGCAGUGAGAGAGCAGUAUGCGGGUGCUCGGGAGACUGCCCGGUUCAGGGUUUUGCUGGAGGGUCCGGUUUGCCGGGUUUGGUACUUGGGUGAGAGCUUCUUGCGUCAGUCCCUCGGCCUACUAGAGCAGAUAGUUCCGAGGCCACCUCCCACCCACAUGAGGCAUACAGAGAGGUACACCCCGGAGGAGAUGAUCGACUUCACUAUCAGUUGGGACUCUGACUUCUUCUGAGAUGAGGGCGACUACACCGUCUUCAUCGAGACUUAUCUCAUGCGACCCCUGGCCAGUGCUCGUCGAGUCGAGAGGGAGAGGCUCGCAGCGCCUGUGAGAGGAGCGAGAGUACCGAGGGCGGCUUAGGCCCAUGACAGGAGUGGGUCCCGGAGGGGACGUGGAGCCGAGUGGCUAGAGCUGCCCACCACCAUGACAUGCUGAGGACAGGGUGGAGAGACUUAUCAGAUACCGAUCGCUCCUCCUCCGGCUGAUCAUGAGCUCGUCAGAGUUUGCGGUUCGACCCUGGCUUCCAUCGAGUACACCAGACAGGCUCUAGAGCUGUCAGCCUCAGUGAUGGGGAUGCUACAGAGGAGCAUGGACCUGCUCAACAUCUAUGGUAUUCCGGCCCCAUUCCAGAUACCGGUCGCAGGGGGUGCUCCAGCAGGACCAUCUGUACCUGCCCGAGGAGCAGGGAGAGCAGGAUGAGGGAUCUCAGUACAUCACUGUAACAGAGCCGGGCGUACUCACUCUGGGAGUAGCUCACGGGCACCUGUCCCAGAUGACGAGUCGUCUGAUGCAGAGGUAGAGUCGUCUGAGGAUGAGGCUGGGGAUGCCUCAGAUUCGGACUCUGACGGUAGAGAUCCUAGACCUUCAUCCAGGAAGAUGACCAGGACGGACUCCCGCACUUGAGGCUACUGGUGCCGAUCCAGACAUUUUGCUGCUUUUCUUUUUUUUUGCUUUAUUUUUCUUUUUACUGGUAGUUUUGCACAUUGUACUGCCUCAGGCAGGUUUUAUUUUCUUCAAAACUAUGUACUUUUACAAAAGGAAAUAUGA